GUUGAGUCUGGCCGUUCGGGGCGGCCGGGCGCUCAAGCCGCCCGCGCCAAAGCCGAUGCGGCUGAGUCCGUCGAGUCGGCGCC
rnacentral:tRNA from 1 species